rnacentral:rRNA from 1 species
GUGAGUAGUUCAGAGUUUGAUCCUGGCUCAGGAUGAACGCUGGCGGCGUGCCUAACACAUGCAAGUCGAACGAAGCACUUUCCCGGAACCUUCGGGUGAAGGGGCUGUGACUGAGUGGCGGACGGGUGAGUAACGCGUGGGUAACCUGCCCUGUACAGGGGGAUAACAGUCAGAAAUGACUGCUAAUACCGCAUAAGCGCACUGAGGUAGCAUUACCUUGUGUGAAAAACUCCGGUGGUACAGGAUGGGCCCGCGUCUGAUUAGCCGGUUGGCGGGGUAACGGCCCACCAAGGCGACGAUCAGUAGCCGGUCUGAGAGGAUGAACGGCCACAUUGGAACUGAGACACGGUCCAA